UGUGUCCACUGCUCUCAUUCAAUUGCUGGAGGACUCCACUAACCACAACAUCAGAUACAGGACCUAAUGAAAUGACACGUGCUGCUGGAUCAACGUCUCCUAAAGGAACAAACAGGGUCACAUCAGAGAGCUUACUGCCACAGGACAAAGUCCAGCAAGAUGGCGUCUGCAACGCUACCCACCACCACCAAGUCACUCCCCCAAGUUACAGGUGGCCCUGGCAUCUGCGGGUUCCACAUCCAUGGACCAAAAAUAUUCGGGGGAAAAAAACCCAAACAAUAAAAAAUAACAUAAAUAUUAAAAACAAUACAGUAUAUCAACUAUCUCCAUAGCAUCUACACUUUAUUAGGUAUUACAAGUAAUGUAGAGAUGAUGUAAAGUACACGGGAGGAUGUGCAUAUGUUAUACAUAAAUGCUACACCAUUUUUUACCAGGGACUUGAAUGUCUGUGCAUUUUGGUGUCUGAGGGGAUCCAGGAAGCAACCCCCUGUGGAUACCGAGGACAACUGUAGUGCUUUUUUGAGAGCAUUCAUGCUCUCUACUGAGCUACAACUUAACCAGAGCCAUUGGAGCAAUGGCUGGAGGAGUGGCUCUGUUCUCUUCUACAACUUAUUCUUAAGGUGCUAAGAAUUCACAGUUUGUGUUAUGGUUCAGUUGUGUAUCCCCAAAAUUCACAUGUUAACACUGAACUGCAGGACCUCAGAAUGUGACCGUAUUUGGAAACAAGGUUGCUGUAGACGUAAUUACUUCAGAUAAGGCCAUACUGGAGCAGGGUGGAGCCCUAAUCCCAUAUGACUGCAUCUCUAUAAAAAGGGAAAUUUGCACACAGACACACACAGGGGGAAAAGGCCACGUGAAGACAAAGGCGGAGACCAGGGUGAGGUAUGACAAGGUAUGGAAGCCAAAGACUGCCGGCACCCCCAGCAGUAGAAGGCAGGCCUGGAGCAGUCUUCCUCCAGGCCUCAGAAGGAACCAGCCCCGCUGACUCCCUGACCUCAGGUUUCCUGCCGGCGGCCUCCAGUGCUGCGAGACAACAGACAUCUGUCGUUUAAGCUACUAGGGCUGUAAUAUUUUGUCAUGGCAGCCCAAGCAGAUGAACAGUUUGUUUCUUACAGAGCAAGCUACCUUAGCAAGAAACUUUCAAAGCGUUAAGAUGCAAAUAUGGAAAAGUAUAUCCUCAGCUGGAUAAGAUCCGUAACUCUUCCAGAAAUGAACUGAUGGAAAGAACACAAGUAUUCCCUGAGGGAAUGAAAGAGAAGAUUCAAGCAUCUCUCCUGAAGUCAAGAAAAGGCAGCUAUCUAACCUAGAAUACUUUAAAUAAAUGCAGUAAAUGACAGGAAAAAAAUGUUCAAAAUCUUUGCUAAGUAAGGUAUAGUUAUAUCACUAGUUAUAGUGUAAGGUGUCAUUUGACUGGUUUAUAAGCAAACAAUCAUUCUGAGUGACUCAAAAAUCUAUCAGCUCAAAAACUGUUUAUUAAUACAAUAUACACUUUGGAUUAAAUGCAAUUCUACAAUGGACUCUAUUGUAUAACAAAACUAUCACUAAUUUAACCUUACAUAAAGAUAUAUAAAAAAAAAAUCUGAUGAAAAAAUGCAGACUCUACUUAAGAUAGGUUUACAAGAGUUCAAUAUCAGCCUGGGCAACAUAGUGAGACCUCGACUCCACUAAAAAUAAAAAAAAUUAGCCAUUUGUAGUGGUGUGUGCCUAUAGUCCCAGAUACUGAGAGGCUGAGGCAGGACUGCUUGAGCCCAGGAGGUCGAGGCUGCGGUGACCUGUGAUCACGCCACUGUACUCCAGCCUGGGUGACAGAGCAAGAACCUGUCUCAAAAACAAAAUAAAACAACAACAAAAUCAUUUUUAAAAAGAUGGGUUUAAAAGUCAGAUAGUAUACUCCUAUGCCGCUAAGUGUAGGCCACACACCAGCAGUUUUGACAUCACUGGAGAUCUUGUUUAAAAGUAACCAGAGCUUGUUGUGCUCACUUCAGCAGCACAUAUACUAAAAAUUGUAGUGAUACAGAGAAGACUAGCAUGGCCCUGUGCAAGGAUGACAUGCAGGUGGGGUGCAGUGGCUCACGCCUGUACCCUCAGCACUUUGGGAGGCUAACGCAGGCAGAUCACUUGAGGUCAGGAGUUUUGGAGACCAGCCUGGCCAACAUGGUGAGACCUCAUCUCUACUAAAAAUACAAAAAUUUGGCUGGGCGCGGUGGCUCAUGCCUGUAAUCCCAGCACUUUGGGAGGCCGAGGAGGGUGGAUCAUGAGGUCAGGAGUUCAAGACCAGCCUGGCCAAGAUGGUGAAACCCCGUCUCUACUAGAAAUACAAAAAUUAGCCAGGUGUGGUGGCAGGUGCCUGUAAUCCCAGCUACUCGGGAGGCUGAGGCAGAGAAUUGCUUGAACCCGGGAGGCGGAGGUUGCAGUGAGCAGAGAUCACGCCACUGCACUCCGAUAUAGCGAGACCCCAUCUCAAAAAAAAAAAAAAAAAAAUUAGCUGGGCGUGGUGGCACAUGCCUGUAAUCACAGCUACUUGGGAGGCUGAGGCACAAGAAUUGCUUGAACUCGGGAGGCAGAGGUUGCAGUGAGCCGAGAUCCCGGCACUGCACUCCAGCCUGGGCAACAGAACAAGACUCCAUCUCAAAAAACAACAAAAAAGAAUGACACACAAAUUCGUGAAGCUUUCCACAAUAAUUAAAAAAUAAUAAUAAAAGAAACUAAUCAGAACUUGCUUUUUAGUAAGAGUCUAGAGAGUUAAUACGUAUUUUAAAGUUUGAGAAGCAUUGAAAUAACCCAUAUGAAUUAGUACCAUCUAAGCCAUGUAAGUAUUAACACUUGCCAAAAAUGUUAAGUUUCACAGAUUUUCAAUACUAGUGUAUUAGAAAAACAACCUUGUUCUGCAAUACAGAAAACCCUACAUAAUAGUUUUACUUACAGCACUGCUGCCGUUUCAACUCAUUGUAAGCAAAUGCCUCUUAUUUGUUAAAGGGCUGAAAUUUUAAUUUAUGUCCUUAUUUCAAGGAUCUCCUGGUUAGAAAAUAUACAAAUACAAAUUAAAAUCUGGGAGUCCAUCAAAAGCUACAGGAGAAAAAUAGUUUAUGCCGGGCGUGGUGGCUGACACCUAUAAUCCCAGCACUUUGGGAGGUCCAGGCAGGCAGAUCACCUGAGGUCAGGAGUUCAAGACCAGCCUGGCCAACAUGGCGAAACCAUGUCUCUAUUAAAAAUACAAAAAUUAGUCAAGAGUGGUGGACUGCAUACCUGUAAUCCCAGCCACUCGGGAGGCUAACAGAAGAAUCACUUGAACCCAGGAGGUGGAGGGUGCACUGAACUGAGAUUGUGUCACUGCACUCCAGCCUGGGUAACAGAGCAACAUGUCGUCUCAAAAAAAAAAAUCUUUUUUUUAAACUACUUUUUUUUUUGAGACAGGGUCUGGCUCUGUCGCCCAACCUGGAGUGCAGUGGUGUGAUCUGGCAGUCUCUGCCUCCUGGGCUCAAGCGAUCCUUCCACCUCGACCUCCCAAAGUGCUGAGAUUACAGGCGUGAGCCACUGCUCCUAGACCUAAACUACUUUAUAAUCAGUUUCCAAAUAAAUUUCCCUUUAUCUGCUGUAUAACAUUACUAAUAUUAAUAACUGAUUUUUUUUAAUAGAGUUUCGCUCUUGUUGCCCAGGCUGGAGUGCAAUGGCGCAAUCUUGGCUCACUGCAACCUCACCUCCCAGGUUCGAGUGAUUCUCCUGCCUCAGACUCCCGAGUAGCUGGGAUUAUAGGUGCCCGCCACCAUGACCGGCUAAUUUUUCUAAUUUUAGUAGAGACGGGGUUUCACCAUGUUGGUCAGGCUGGUCUCGAACUCCUGACCUCAGGUGAUCUGCCUUCCUCGGCCCCCCAAAGUGCUGGGAUACAGGUAUGAGCCAUCACAACCAGCCUUAAAAUGUAAAUUUUAAAAAAGGCAAAGAACAUCUGGUCCUCUAAAGGGUAAAAUCUCAUGUUUCCAUGUUUGUUCAUCUACCAUGUUUAUCGCACCUAUACUUUAGGAGCAUUGACUAUAAAAAUUCCAUUCGUGAUACUUUACAGAGUGCUAUUCUUAAGACUGAUGGACAAGUUAGGUUUUCUUUUUUUAAGGUGCUAUUUUAAGAAAAGAUCUUAAAACAGGUUGAGUGGCUAGCUCAAAAGCUAGGACUCUUACAAAAAAGAAAAACAGAGGGAAGAGCUAGGGAGCAGAACUGGAAUGAGAACGUUUAUUCAGUGACUGAACACAGACUGUGAAAAGUUCUUUUGUCCAUUCACCAAAUAUUUACUGAGCACCUACUAGGUGCCAGGCACCAAGAGCUGUGAAGGAGACAGAAUGGAAACAACAUGAGACUUGGUCCCAGCCCUCAUCGCCUGUAAUCUCAUGGGGAAUAGAGACAAGCUAAGCGGCACUUAAGGAGGACAAGGUCUGCAGAAAUACCAUAAGUCAUGGCAGCAGAUCCGCACUGACCUAUGUCAGACUCAGGAACACCAAGGCAGGACCCGAAGGAGCAGGAGUUCUCCAGGGGAACAGCUGGAGACUGUUCCACACAGAGGAGGCAAAAAGAACACAGAACUAAAGGUCAGCUAGGCUGCAGCAGGAGAAAGAACAGCAGGAGAUGAAGCCAGUAAUGUAUGUCCACCUGCACCACAGGGCCUUGGGAACCAAGUUGAGGAGUUUAGACUUUUUAUCCUACAAGCCACGAGGAGCCAUUGGAUGAUUUUAAGCAGAAGGGCACACACAGAUAUCAAAUUUGUGUUUUAGAAAGAACACUGGGUCUAUAGCGGGAGAAUGAAUUGGAAAGGGUUGAAGGUUGAGACGGAGAGGCUGAUGAGGAGGCUGAGGCAGCAACAGCAAUCCAGGCAAGAGGUGAUGGUGGCUUGACCCAUGGUCUUGGCUAUGGGCAGAGAAUAGAAAAGGCAAGAGUGAGGGCCAUUUGGGAGCAGAAUGCAGAGGAUUUGCUAAUGAACUACAUUUAGGGAUUGAGGGAGGAGGAGCUGUCAAUAACACAACUUCCUUUUCUUUUGUGGACAAGAGGGCAGACAACGCUUCCUCUCCCUGCACUGGAGACCCUGGGGAAGAGGAGUCUGGGGCAGGGGCACGAGUCUUCCAUCUCUGAGUCACAGUGGGGUGGAAAGUCAGAAAUGAAAAUGUGAGAUCUGGGCUGGAGACCUGGAUGGAAGUCAGGCCACUGGGAGGGAUGACACCUCCUUUGAGAGUGCAGAAGGAGAAGAGGGCCCAGGCUGAGCCCAAGGAACACAGACAUCCCUAGGCAGGGAAGCGCAGAAAGGAGGCAGUGUCAGCAGCAGGAGCCACAGUGAUCGCGGGAAGGGAAAACCCAGAAGCCAGCAGAAUCACAGAUGCCAAGGAAGGGUCUGUUGGGAGAACAAGGAGGGCCUACAAUGCAAAGUGCUGCUGAGAUGAGGCCAAGAGAUGGCAGGUGGGGAUGCCAGUGAUGGCAGAAGCUGCCUAGACCUAGGGACUGAGAAGGUGACAGGAGUCAAUAAUGAACCUCUUUUCUAGCAUAGCCACUGGGGUGGGCAAUGCCUCCCACUGCCAGCUGUGACUUGGCAGGGGUAAGCCACCCAAGUGGGAGCAAGGAAGAAGGGGCAAGUGUAGCCGAUUCUUCCAAGGAGGAAUUGGAGGGAGGAAGGGAAAAUAGAAAGUGAAGGAACUCUGCAAAGUGACUAACACCGGUAACCAGGUUAAGAAAGGCUUACCUCUGUUCACACGCACGUCGAUGACAGCACACACAUGCUCACGUCGAUGACAGCACACACAUGCUUACAUAUCUCCUGCCUGGUCCUUAACAGACUCUCACCCAAGGUUUUUGAAACAGACAAAUGAAGAGGGUGGAAUUAUCUUUCAAGUACCCAUACUCGGCUUCCCUACUGGACCACAACCGUGCAGGUAAAGACCCUGUCUUGUACUCCAUCUUCCACAGUGCAGUCCUGGAUGAGUGUACACGGAGGGAGGCAAAUCCUACUGGAUGCCCCUUAUGUCAUCCAACUCCAUAGUGAGUCUACACAAAUUACUAAGACACUAUACUUGCGAUACAUGAAUUGUGAGGGGGUUAGGGAUUAAUAAAAACGUGCUAUUCAGAGACGUUAGGCUGCAAUAUGAACAGGUGAAGAUGAUGGAAAACAUCAAGAUAUUAUGCUGGUGCAAAAGUAAUUGCAGUUUUUCCCAUUACUUUUAUUGGCAAAAACCGCAUUACUUUUUACCAACCGAAAUACAAAUAUUCUAACAGUUUUGGUCUCUGAUGAUGAGACAGGAGGGAAUAGAUGUUAUCAAGAACACUGUGGCAUAUAUUUAAAGCUACUCUAAGAAAAUGCAAAAGCAGGAAAUGAACAUUUUUCAUUGCCUGUUAACCUAGCUAGUGUCCACAUUUUAGCAGCAAUAAAACAGGCUUAAUUAAAGGACUUUAAUAAAGUUUGGAUAAUUAAAAAUAACCUAAUAUCUUAUUGUGCCUAAUUAGAUGGGUUUACAGGUCAUUUCCAACUUGGAUUUUUUUUUUAAAUUAUACUCAACAGAUGCUAAAGAACAGAUCUCUAAACUGUCUUGACAAGCCAGUUUUCUACAUUACAAUUUGAUUAGAGUUAUCUGAGCAAAUAGUUCAAAGAUGCCACCAGAACACAUGAAUAUGUUCAGUGAUGUCCAGUGAGUAACAGACACAGGCUCUGAUGACUACAUUUUCCCCCAUGCUACCCUCCUGAAUCAUGAUCUAAUUCUGCCAGCCCCAGCACACUCCCCAUCUACACCUGCUCCCCUGCUCCCAACAACAAAGUGACAUCUUGGGCUGUUGUAGAGCCUCGGUUUAAACACUAAUCCACUAAGUGAGAUCAGUAAGGGCAGCAGAAGCCACUGUCCCUUUAACUUAACCGCAAGACAAAAUUAAUUGAGGUGGGUGGACCACCUGAGGUUAGGAGUUCGAGACCAGCCUGGCCAACAUGGUGAAACCCCAUCUCUACUAAAAACACAAAAAUUAUCCAGGCGUGCUGGGUGGGCACCUGUAAUACCAACUACUUGGGAGGCUGAGGCAGGAGCAUCACUUGAACCCGGGAGGUAGAGGUUGCAGAGAGCCAAGAUCACGCUGCUGCACUCCAGCCUGGGUGACAGAGUGAGAUUCGGUCUCAAAAAAAAGAACAAAAUUAGUUGAUGAUAUGGGUCUUUAGAUCAUGUCCCAGAAACACUUUAAAUUACUUACCCUUAAAAAACAUAAAAGAGGCCGGGCGCAGUGGCUCACGCCUGUAAUCCCAACACUUUGGGAGGCCGAGGCGGGCGGAUCACGAGGUCAGGAGAUCGAGACCAUCCUGGCUAACACGGUGAAACCCCGUCUCUACUAAAAAUACUAAAAAUUAGCCGGGCCUGGUGGCGGGCGCCUGUGGUCCCAGCUACUCGGGAGGCUGAGGCAGGAGAAUGGCGUGAACCCGGGAGGCAGAGCUUGCAGUGAGCAGAGAUGGCGCCACUGCAUUCCAGCCUGGGCGACAGAGCCAGACUCCGCCUCAGAAAAAAAAAAAACUAAAAACCAUAAAAGAGGUCUUAUUAGGGAACAUCUUCAUUUUCAAAUUCUUUAUAGAGUUUUAAAUUAUCUCACAUUAAACAAUUUAACUUUAAGUGGAACUGGUAGGAAUUCCAUCAGGAAAUUUUAUAAUUUAAAAAAACAGGCCGGGCAUGGUGGCUCACGCCUGUAAUCCCAGCACUUUGGGAGGCCAAGGCGGGCAAUCACCUGAGGUGAGGAGUUCGAGACCAGCCUGGCCAACAUGGUGAAACCCUGUCUCUACUAAAAAUACAAAAAUUAGCCAGAUGCGGUGGCAUGCCCUAUUGUCCCAGCUACUCGGGAGGUUGAGGCUGGAGAAUCGCUUGAACCAGGAGACAGAGGUUGCAGUGAGCCGAGAUCACGCCACUGCACUCCAGCCUGGGCGACAGAGCAAGACUGUGUCUCAAAAAAUAAAUAAGUAAGAGCUUAGGAACAAACUCUACUUGCAUGGUUAAAAGUCUAGAAAAUAGAUUUUUAGUUUUUGUAAACAUCGAUAUUAAUUAACCCUGACCUGAGAAAUUCUAACACAAAGCCUAUGAUGUCUCUCUCUUGCUCAUCUAUAACAACUCCUUCCUAUUAAAGCAAAAGAAGAAAAAAGAAGUCCACUCAGACAGGACAAAAGCCAAGAUCUAGCUGAAACCAAUGUCUUUGUAAGAACAGCCACGUGGGCAGAUGGCUUGAGCUCAGGAGUUCGAGACUAGCCUACACAAUAUGGCGAGACUCUGUCUCUACAAAAGACAUACAAAUUAGCCAGGUAUGGUGGUGCAUGCCUAUAGUCCCAGCUACUUGGGAGGCUGAUGUGGGAGGAUCACUUGAGCCCAGGAGGGUGAGGCUGUAGUGAGUGAGUUGCGAUUGUGCCACUGCACUUCAGCCUGGACGACAGAGCAAGACCUUGUCUCAAAAAAUAAAAAUAAAAAUAAAAAAAACAGAACAGCCAUACUAUGGUAUAAAGCAGGUUUUUCCCCCUCAAAUAUCUACUUUUCUAUUUUGCUAAAAUAUCAAAGACUUUUCUAUUUUGCUAAAAAUCGGGCCUUUGCCAAAAACUAUAAUCCAGAAUUCCCUAAUUUAUUCUUAUGGACAUCAUGGAAACAAACAGCUAAGGAAGGAGUAAUGACUGCUUUACCUCCCACCAGUCUUAAAGAUUAGAUCUGCAUUAGGUGCUCCCUUCGGAUGUUGGUAGCGAGGCCGCCUCUCACGAUUGGUGUUU
rnacentral:lncRNA from 10 species